rnacentral:rRNA from 1 species
UGGCGGACGGGUGAGUAACGCGUGGGUAACCUGCCUUGUACAGGGGGAUAACAGUUGGAAACGACUGCUAAUACCGCAUAAGCGCACAGUACCGCAUGGUACAGUGUGAAAAACUCCGGUGGUACGAGAUGGACCCGCGUCUGAUUAGCUUGUUGGUGGGGUAACGGCCUACCAAGGCAACGAUCAGUAGCCGACUUGAGAGAGUGAUCGGCCACAUUGGGACUGAGACACGGCCCAAACUCCUACGGGAGGCAGCAUG